rnacentral:misc_RNA from 1 species
CCGCCUCCCGCCGUUGUGCUCCUGCCCUUGCUGGCGACCGAACCACCGCACAGACCUACUUCAACCUUCCUCAACACUCUCCAGUCUCCACCGACCACUACGAAGGUCAUAUACUUUCCUUAAAUGAUAGCUUCGAGAAUGGGUUCCAUAUAGAUUGGGUUUUUGAUUAAAGGAAAAUAGACUGCGGUAGUAAAUUUUGCAAAUGAACUUGAUUUUAAGAUUAAGGCAUCAUAUACCAAAUGGGUUUUCUACAAAACCCUUCUUUCGGCCACUGGUCCUAUUGAAUUUCACGAAUAUGAAUGGGGUGUCGUCUCAUGGAUAUGCCCAACCUGCAAGGGAAACUCAGGAAGAGGAAGAAGAGGUUGAAAUUGAUCAGAGGAGGCUUCCAGCUGAUUAUGAUCCUGCUACUUUUGAUCCCACAGAGCAUCGCAGUCCUCCAACAGAGCGUGUUUUUAGGCUUGUUAAUGAAAUUGCAGGGCUCACGCUGGUGGAGGUUGCUGAGCUAAGUUCCAUUAUAAUGAGAAAGAAGGGAAUGACAGAGUUACCAGUUGUGGGGGUUGUGAAGGCUGGUGCUGCUGGAUUGGCUGGAAUGGCAAUGAAGGCUCCAACUGCAGCUGCCAAGGAAGAAAAGAAGCCAGAGAAGACUGUUUUCGAAUUGAAAUUGGAGUCAUAUGAAGCAGCUUCAAAGAUUAAGAUAAUCAAGGAGGUUAGGAGUUUUACUGAUUUGGGUCUUAAGGAAGCCAAGGAUUUGGUAGAGAAGACGCCAUCAGUGCUGAAAACAGGAGUAUCAAAGGAAGAAGGUGAGCAAAUAAUUGAGAAGAUGAAAGCUGUUGGGGCCAAAGUUGUGAUGGAAUGAGACAAAGCCAUUUGACCCAUAUUUGGU